rnacentral:rRNA from 1 species
UACAGAGGGGGCAAGCGUUGUUCGGAAUUACUGGGCGUAAAGGGCGCGUAGGCGGCCUUCUAAGUCGAACGUGAAAUCCCUGGGCUCAACCCAGGAACUGCGUCCGAUACUGGGAGGCUUGAAUCCGGGAGAGGGAUGUGGAAUUCCAGGUGUAGCGGUGAAAUGCGUAGAUAUCGAGAGGAACACCUGCGGCGAAGGCGGGUUGCUGGGCCGACACUGACGCUGAGGCGCGAAAGCCAGGGGAGCGAACAGG